CAGGUACCUGGUGAAUUAGUAUCUUCUCUCUGAACUAAAUAGGACAUCAGCCAGCCAUCUACAAUCUAGAGGACAUGAGCCAGCCAUCUACAAUCUAGAGGACAUAAACCAGCCAUCUACAAUCUAGAGGACAUAAACCAGCCAUCUACAAUCUAGAGGACAUCAACCAGCCAUCUACAAUCUAGAGGACAUCAGCCAGCCAUCUACAAUCUAGAGGACAUCAACCAGCCAUCUACAAUCUAGAGGACAUCAACCAGCCAUCUACAAUCUAGAGGACAUAAACCAGCCAUCUACAAUCUAGAGGACAUCAGCCAGCCAUCUACAAUCUAGAGGACAUGAGCCAGCCAUCUACAAUCUAGAGGACAUCAGCCAGCCAUCUACAAUCUAGAGGUCAUCAGCCAGCCAUCUACAAUCUAGAGGACAUCAGCCAGCCAUCUACAAUCUAGAGG